rnacentral:lncRNA from 1 species
UUAAAGAAAGGUUAAGAACUCCUGGAUUACACAGUUUCUGAGGUUCUGUUCGGCUCUGACAUCAUAGAAUUCUAUGACUGUUGUGUCACCUUGAACAAGUCUUUAUUCCUUUUCAGCAGAUGAUCUCAAAGUCUCUUCAAGCUCCAUUUCCCAAGUUCUCAGGUUUCUCCUUUCAAUACCAUAGUGCAAAUUCAGGAGAAGGUCUUUGUUAUGUGAAAUGGAUCUCAGGGAGGGAGAAAAGGGACAUGGAGAAAUCAAGGAAUCAGUCUCACUUGGAGGGAUGGGCAAGAUUCCAGAGAUACCUAUCACUUCUGUGAGCCAAAUUUAGACCACCUCACAUAACCAUACAGAUGAAGAAACUGAGUUCCUCAAAGUUCUCUUUCCAAGAUCACACUACUAAUUUGGAGCUCAGACUGAAUCCCAGAUUUCUACCUUUAAUUCCCUGCUUCUUCCUGCUACAUCACACUGUCCACCAGAGGGAAUCAGGUGAGGAAGAAUCUUAAUAAUCAACUGAAUCCCCAUCAGUCAGCCUCUCUGUCCUAACUCCUCUGAAGUGUGGCUUGGCAAGGGUGCC